rnacentral:lncRNA from 1 species
GAAGGAUUCGGUUCAUAUGCAUAUGUUCAGAGAACUAAGCAUGGUCUAGCUGCAGCAGGGGCAUUUAAACAAGAAUAAGAAGUUUGCAAGUGAGUCUGAUCUGUUUUUUUUGUUUUUGUUUUUGUUUUUGUUUUUCCAUCAGCUAGUCACUAUAGCAUCUGCUGUAAGCUCUGGUUAGAAGUUGAUGAGAUUUGUGAUGUUUAAAGAUGAAGAUCUAUAAAUUAUAUCUGUAGGUUAUUUGAACUGUAUUACAUUGCUAUGGCAUAAACUAGUAGCCAUCUAGGUUGUGUAAGUACCCUCUACAAUGGCACAAUGACAAAAUCCCCUAACAACACAUUUCUCAGAAUGUGUCGCUAUCAUUAACUGACCAUUACUCUAUUUGUCAAAUGUGAGUGUCUACUAUGUUCCAGGGUUUGUUCAGGUUACAUAAUGAUAGGCAAAAGUAGGUAGACAUGGUCUUGGUUCUCAUAGAGCUUACACCUUAUGGGGAAGACAGAUGAUGAAAUCAUUACACUUCUGGUUAUUGCUGUAUAGGAAAGGAAUAUGAUUCUGUAAAAGCAAAUAACAAGGGAACCAGACCUAGUUUGAAAUGUUAAGACAGGCAUUGCUAAUUAAAGGUGUGACCUUUGCACUGAGACUUAAAGAAUGGAAAGAAGUUAAUGAGAAAAAUAGAUAUGAACGCUGUACAUUAACAUGGAAAAUGUCUAGGCUAUUGUAACUGGAAAACACGUA